rnacentral:lncRNA from 1 species
GGGGCGGGGGGCGGGGCUCCAUCCAGUCCAUUCACGGAGAGUGCCCAAGUGCCUAUAGGGCCUGGCACUUGGUAAACAGUCCAUAAAUUUGAAUUUAAAAAUUGUUGGUUUGGGGCUCAGUGGUAAAGAACCCGCUUGCCAAUGCAGAUUACACGAGUUGGAUCCCUGAUCUGGGAAGGUCCCACAUGCCACAGAGCAGCCAUAUACCACGGAGCAGCCAUAUACCACAGAGCAGCCAUAUACAAUGGAGCAGCCAUAUACCACGGAGCAUGCCAUAUGCCACAACUAGUGCUCUAGAGCCUGGGAACCACAGCUACCGAAGCUGGCGUGCCCUAGAGCCCAUGCUCCAUGAGAGAAGCCACCACAUACUGCUGUGGUUUUCUACAUUCUUUUCUAUANUGGGUUCCCUACACUGUUCCACUUACCUCUGUGUUUAUCCUUCCAACAAUACCACAUAAUUUUGACUAUUAUGGCUAGAAAAUAAGUCUUGAAACAGGCAGAAUGGUUCCUCUCACUUUACUCUUUUAUUUCAAAAUUGUUUUAGCUAUCUUGGUUCUUUUGUUUUCCAUAUUUACUUUGGAAUCAACAUGUCUAUAUCUAUAAAAAUUUUGGCUGUAAUUUUAGUAGAAACUGCAUUAAGCCUGUAUGAUAAUUUGAGAAGAACUGAUAUCAUAACUGUGUUGGAGUUUCCAAUCCAUGAACAUGGUAUGUCUCUCCAUUUAUUUAGAUACACUUCGAUUUCUUUCACCAGGAUUUUGCAUUUUUCAGCAUAAAGUCCUAUAACUGUCUUGUUAGAUUUAUACCUACACUUGUUUAUUUUUCAGGAAGUAUAAUGAAUUUUUAAUUUUAGUGUCCACAUGUUCAUUAACAGUAUGUGAAAUCAAUUUUUGUGUGUUUAUUUUGUAUUGUGCAAUCUUGCUGAACUCGCUUAAUAGUUCUAGAUUUGGGGGAACUGUUUUGCUUUUGUAGAUUCUUUGGGAUUUUCUACAUAGAUAAACAUGUCAUCUGCAGAUGCAAACAACUUUGCUGCUGCUGCUGCUAAGUCGCUUCAGUCGCGUCCGACUCUGUGUGAC